CAGAUGCUAAUACCGCAUAGCUACAAGAACCGCAUGGUUCUUGUUUGAAAGAUGGCGUAAGCUAUCGCUUUCGGAUGGACCCGCGGCGUAUUAGCUAGUUGGUGAGGUAACGGCUCACCAAGGCGAUGAUACGUAGCCGACCUGAGAGGUUGAUCGGCCACAUUGGGACUGAGACACGGCCCAAACUCCUACGGGAGGCAGCAGUAGGGAAUCUUCCACAAUGGACGCAAGUCUGAUGGAGCAACGCCGCGUGAGUGAAGAAGGCUUUCGGCUCGUAAAACUCUGUUGUUGGAGAAGAACAGUCGUCAGAGUAACUGUUGUCGUCGUGACGGUAUCCAACCAGAAAGCCACGGCUAACUACGUGCCAGCAGCCGCGGUAAUACGUAGGUGGCAAGCGUUGUCCGGAUUUAUUGGGCGUAAAGCGAGCGCAGGCGGUUUUUUAAGUCUGAUGUGAAAGCCCUCGGCUUAACCGAGGAAGCGCAUCGGAAACUGGGAAACUUGAGUGCAGAAGAGGACAGUGGAACUCCAUGUGUAGCGGUGAAAUGCGUAGAUAUAUGGAAGAACACCAGUGGCGAAGGCGGCUGUCUGGUCUGUAACUGACGCUGAGGCUCGAAAGCAUGGGUAGCGAACAGGAUUAGAUACCCUGGUAGUCCAUGCCGUAAACGAUGAAUGCUAGGUGUUGGAGGGUUUCCGCCCUUCAGUGCCGCAGCUAACGCAUUAAGCAUUCCGCCUGGGGAGUACGACCGCAAGGUUGAAACUCAAAGGAAUUGACGGGGGCCCGCACAAGCGGUGGAGCAUGUGGUUUAAUUCGAAGCAACGCGAAGAACCUUACCAGGUCUUGACAUCUUUUGAUCACCUGAGAGAUCAGGUUUCCCCUUCGGGGACAAAAUGACAGGUGGUGCAUGGUUGUCGUCAGCUCGUGUCGUGAGAUGUUGGGUUAAGUCCCGCAACGAGCGCAACCCUUAUGACUAGUUGCCAGCAUUUAGUUGGGCACUCUAGUAAGACUGCCGGUGACAAACCGGAGGAAGGUGGGGAUGACGUCAAAUCAUCAUGCCCCUUAUGACCUGGGCUACACACGUGCUACAAUGGAUGGUACAACGAGUUGCGAAACCGCGAGGUCAAGCUAAUCUCUUAAAGCCAUUCUCAGUUCGGACUGUAGGCUGCAACUCGCCUACACGAAGUCGGAAUCGCUAGUAAUCGCGGAUCAGCAUGCCGCGGUGAAUACGUUCCCGGGCCUUGUACACACCGCCCGUCACACCACGAGAGUUUGUAACACCCAAAGCCGGUGGCGUAACCCUUU
rnacentral:rRNA from 2 species